AAUGGGUGGCUUAGGUGAUCCAGAUUCUCAGAAUGCCUCUGUUGCAGUAUCCUCAGAAUUCUGCAUUCAGAACAUCUUCAAGGAUCCUGGCUGAGAUGUUCCAGCCUCACAGACUAUUCUAGCCAGGGCUGGAGGUAAGUCUUGUGCUUUCCCAUUGCACAGAGACUGGACAACAAAUGUUACGGCUAGCUCUCCCAGGACUUGACCAUUAUCCCAAUUUUCCCAGGGUCCCCUAAUAAUGCCGGCACGCCCAGACAACAAGGAGCAGUCUAGAGAAUACAAUACCCACACUCCCAAGAGGUGGGGUUUUCUGAGACAGGGUUUCUCUGUGUAGCUUUGCGCCUUUCCUGGACCUCGCUCUGUAGGCCAGGCUGGCCUCGAACUCACAAAGAUCCGCCUGCCUCUGCCUCUGCGAGUGCUGGGAUUAAAGGCGUGCACCACCACCGCCCGGCUGCAGUUCAUUUUCAAAGGUUAUAUAAAGUUUUAGACUUUGAAAGCUACUUAGGAUAUUAAAGAAACACAGGUUAGUAGUCAUCUAUAACAAUCAGACUUAUAGUCAUGUUAGGUAUGUUUUCAAGGUAAAACAGAUAUAUUUUGAAUAGAUAGAUGGUCUUCAAACACUUCAAAGACCUACAGAAUAUGGCAUUUAAACUUUUAAUAUCAUAAGGCUUUUCAUGACAGUGAGACAUGUCUGCUCCUGGCAGCACCAAUUAACUUCAAAAAAGGAUGAUGGGUAUCAAGAAACUGCCCUUGCCUCAACUGCUGACAGUAUAAUGUCUAAAUUGGAUAACCAGGACACAAAGGAAAACGUCUGCUGAACUUUGCCAAGACAAUGUAGGACAAUCCUUCAAAAUUCCUGCUUCACAGAGAAGUUUACCAGAUAUUCUAGGCCUGUAGGUCGAAGACGGACGCACCAAUGUUACAGAGGAACCUUGGGUGAUUGUCUAGGUAGCCAGCUGUUUCUGUCAUUUCUAUAUUUUUAGAAGUUGUUUGCUCUGUACUUUCUGUUUACUUGAAUAAUAUUAUGUCAUUCUUGGGUCUCUGAUGGAGUUGAAGAUGAGAUAUUUAUAGUCACAGUUUUCUUUGUUACCAAAUUCAGAAAAGAAACUCACAAAAGAGGUAUAAAAUGUAUGGGUUUGAAAGAAAUAAAAGCUUAAAUUGUUUAUCUAGGAGAAUGUUUUGAGGUCUAAAAAGAUAGUUUUGAGAUUGUAAUACAAGUUAUGAUAGAAAAUGGUUUAGGUAUAAAAAUUUGGACUAAGACAGAAUAGAUAAUACAGUACUUUCUCCAAAUUUUCCAAAUACAAAUAGACUGGACACUGAAA